rnacentral:rRNA from 1 species
UACGUAGGGGGCAAGCGUUGUCCGGAAUCAUUGGGCGUAAAGAGCGUGUAGGCGGUCCGGUCAGUCGGUUGUGAAAGUCCAGGGCUCAACCCUGGAAUGCCGGUGGAUACUGUCGGGCUCGAAUCCGGAAGAGGUGAGUGGAAUUCCUGGUGUAGCGGUGAAAUGCGCAGAUAUCAGGAGGAACACCAAUGGCGAAGGCAGCUCACUGGGACGGUAUUGACGCUGAGACGCGAAAGCGUGGGGAGCAAACAGG